AGAAUCAACGCUGGCGGCGUGCCUAACACAUGCAAGUCGAACGAGAAAGUGGAGCAAUCCAUGAGUAAAGUGGCGCACGGGUGAGUAACACGUGACUAACCUACCUUUUAGUGGGGGAUAACCUAGGGAAACCUGGGCUAAUACCGCAUAAUACCUACGGGUCAAAGCAGCAAUGCGCUGGAAGAGGGGGUCGCGGCCGAUUAGCUAGUUGGCGGGGUAAUGGCCCACCAAGGCAGUGAUCGGUAUCCGGCCUGAGAGGGCGCACGGACACACUGGAACUGAAACACGGUCCAGACUCCUACGGGAGGCAGCAGUGGGAAUUUGCGCAAUGGGGGAAACCCUGACGCAGCAACGCCGCGUGGAGGAUGAAGACCCUUGGGUCGUAAACUCCUUUCGAUCGGGACGAUAAUGACGGUACCGGAAGAAGAAGCCCGGCUAACUUCGUGCCAGCAGCCGC
rnacentral:rRNA from 1 species